GGGUUGUGAGGUUAAGCGACUAAGCGUACACGGUGGAUGCCCUGGCAGUCAGAGGCGAUGAAGGACGUGCUAAUCUGCGAUAAGCGUCGGUAAGGUGAUAUGAACCGUUAUAACCGGCGAUUUCCGAAUGGGGAAACCCAGUGUGAUUCGUCACACUAUCAUUAACUGAAUCCAUAGGUUAAUGAGGCGAACCGGGGGAACUGAAACAUCUAAGUACCCCGAGGAAAAGAAAUCAACCGAGAUUCCCCCAGUAGCGGCGAGCGAACGGGGAGCAGCCCAGAGCCUGAAUCAGUGUGUGUGUUAGUGGAAGCGUCUGGAAAGGCGCGCGAUACAGGGUGACAGCCCCGUACACAAAAAUGCACAUGCUGUGAGCUCGAUGAGUAGGGCGGGACACGUGGUAUCCUGUCUGAAUAUGGGGGGACCAUCCUCCAAGGCUAAAUACUCCUGACUGACCGAUAGUGAACCAGUACCGUGAGGGAAAGGCGAAAAGAACCCCGGCGAGGGGAGUGAAAAAGAACCUGAAACCGUGUACGUACAAGCAGUGGGAGCACGCUUAGGCGUGUGACUGCGUACCUUUUGUAUAAUGGGUCAGCGACUUAUAUUCUGUAGCAAGGUUAACCGAAUAGGGGAGCCGAAGGGAAACCGAGUCUUAACUGGGCGUUAAGUUGCAGGGUAUAGACCCGAAACCCGGUGAUCUAGCCAUGGGCAGGUUGAAGGUUGGGUAACACUAACUGGAGGACCGAACCGACUAAUGUUGAAAAAUUAGCGGAUGACUUGUGGCUGGGGGUGAAAGGCCAAUCAAACCGGGAGAUAGCUGGUUCUCCCCGAAAGCUAUUUAGGUAGCGCCUCGUGAAUUCAUCUCCGGGGGUAGAGCACUGUUUCGGCAAGGGGGUCAUCCCGACUUACCAACCCGAUGCAAACUGCGAAUACCGGAGAAUGUUAUCACGGGAGACACACGGCGGGUGCUAACGUCCGUCGUGAAGAGGGAAACAACCCAGACCGCCAGCUAAGGUCCCAAAGUCAUGGUUAAGUGGGAAACGAUGUGGGAAGGCCCAGACAGCCAGGAUGUUGGCUUAGAAGCAGCCAUCAUUUAAAGAAAGCGUAAUAGCUCACUGGUCGAGUCGGCCUGCGCGGAAGAUGUAACGGGGCUAAACCAUGCACCGAAGCUGCGGCAGCGACGCUGAUGCGUUGUUGGGUAGGGGAGCGUUCUGUAAGCCUGUGAAGGUGUGCUGUGAGGCAUGCUGGAGGUAUCAGAAGUGCGAAUGCUGACAUAAGUAACGAUAAAGCGGGUGAAAAGCCCGCUCGCCGGAAGACCAAGGGUUCCUGUCCAACGUUAAUCGGGGCAGGGUGAGUCGACCCCUAAGGCGAGGCCGAAAGGCGUAGUCGAUGGGAAACAGGUUAAUAUUCCUGUACUUGGUGUUACUGCGAAGGGGGGACGGAGAAGGCUAUGUUGGCCGGGCGACGGUUGUCCCGGUUUAAGCGUGUAGGCUGGUUUUCCAGGCAAAUCCGGAAAAUCAAGGCUGAGGCGUGAUGACGAGGCACUACGGUGCUGAAGCAACAAAUGCCCUGCUUCCAGGAAAAGCCUCUAAGCAUCAGGUAACAUCAAAUCGUACCCCAAACCGACACAGGUGGUCAGGUAGAGAAUACCAAGGCGCUUGAGAGAACUCGGGUGAAGGAACUAGGCAAAAUGGUGCCGUAACUUCGGGAGAAGGCACGCUGAUAUGUAGGUGAAGUCCCUCGCGGAUGGAGCUGAAAUCAGUCGAAGAUACCAGCUGGCUGCAACUGUUUAUUAAAAACACAGCACUGUGCAAACACGAAAGUGGACGUAUACGGUGUGACGCCUGCCCGGUGCCGGAAGGUUAAUUGAUGGGGUCAGCGCAAGCGAAGCUCUUGAUCGAAGCCCCGGUAAACGGCGGCCGUAACUAUAACGGUCCUAAGGUAGCGAAAUUCCUUGUCGGGUAAGUUCCGACCUGCACGAAUGGCGUAAUGAUGGCCAGGCUGUCUCCACCCGAGACUCAGUGAAAUUGAACUCGCUGUGAAGAUGCAGUGUACCCGCGGCAAGACGGAAAGACCCCGUGAACCUUUACUAUAGCUUGACACUGAACAUUGAGCCUUGAUGUGUAGGAUAGGUGGGAGGCUUUGAAGUGUGGACGCCAGUCUGCAUGGAGCCGACCUUGAAAUACCACCCUUUAAUGUUUGAUGUUCUAACGUUGACCCGUGAUCCGGGUUGCGGACAGUGUCUGGUGGGUAGUUUGACUGGGGCGGUCUCCUCCUAAAGAGUAACGGAGGAGCACGAAGGUUGGCUAAUCCUGGUCGGACAUCAGGAGGUUAGUGCAAUGGCAUAAGCCAGCUUGACUGCGAGCGUGACGGCGCGAGCAGGUGCGAAAGCAGGUCAUAGUGAUCCGGUGGUUCUGAAUGGAAGGGCCAUCGCUCAACGGAUAAAAGGUACUCCGGGGAUAACAGGCUGAUACCGCCCAAGAGUUCAUAUCGACGGCGGUGUUUGGCACCUCGAUGUCGGCUCAUCACAUCCUGGGGCUGAAGUAGGUCCCAAGGGUAUGGCUGUUCGCCAUUUAAAGUGGUACGCGAGCUGGGUUUAGAACGUCGUGAGACAGUUCGGUCCCUAUCUGCCGUGGGCGCUGGAGAACUGAGGGGGGCUGCUCCUAGUACGAGAGGACCGGAGUGGACGCAUCACUGGUGUUCGGGUUGUCAUGCCAAUGGCACUGCCCGGUAGCUAAAUGCGGAAGAGAUAAGUGCUGAAAGCAUCUAAGCACGAAACUUGCCCCGAGAUGAGUUCUCCCUGACUCCUUGAGAGUCCUGAAGGAACGUUGAAGACGACGACGUUGAUAGGCCGGGUGUGUAAGCGCAGCGAUGCGUUGAGCUAACCGGUACUAAUGAACCGUGAGGCUUAACCUUACAACGCCGAAG
rnacentral:rRNA from 1 species